AUCAAUAUAAUACAAAAGGGCAAGUAGAGCUGAACAUUUUGGGAGAAGCAUCAAUUAGAUAGACUACAAAUUCUUUGGAAUUCUUUGGAAGCCUCUUUUUCCUGUUGCACCAAAAGAUUCAUCACUAACCAAUACUAAUCAAUGUUUCAUUUCUUUUUUGGCUUUCACUAAAAAGUCCAAGAAGAAAAAAAGGUUAAAACUGAAAGAUAUCAUUUACAUCAAACAUAAUCAAUAUAACCGGUUAAGCAAUUAAUGAUACAGAAGACUCAUCAAUGGACAACUAUGAUAUCAUUUACAUGAAUUUGACUUGUUGGACACACAGAAGUGGACAACAAUAGUUUGCAAUCCUUGAUUUAGUGGACAUGAUAUUGUGGAUACUAUGUAAUUUGCAUAAACUAUUUUUUUAUUUGGGUGGAUAUAAGGACAACUAUGAUAUCAUUUACAUGGAUUUGACUUGUUGGACACAUAGAAGUGGACAACAAUAGUUUGCAGUCCUUGAUUUAGUGGACAUGAUAUUGUGGAUACUAUCUAAUUUGCAUAAACUAUUUCUUCUAUUUUUUU
rnacentral:sRNA from 1 species